UCUAACCCAGACCUAGGAGGCCCAGGAAAUCACAAACCGAUGACCACAAUAUGUCUUCUUUGCUCGGGAACUGGAAAUAACAUGCAGGGGUACACAGUAAUCAUCGCGCCCCAGGCCAUGGAAAUCAUUGACUUUUAGAUGCAAAUCGACGGUCCGGUAACCGCAGUUGUAAGAGUGAAAGGCCGGCGAAGAACUUGCAGCUGGUUCUGCUCUGCUCUGGACAAUGAGCCUGAAAAUCUAUCACUCCUUGGCCUUCCUACUCUUUUCUGUAGCUACAUGUGGGCCUUUCUUUUUGCCACAUUUUGGCCAACCAAAAGGCAUAAACUUGAUUGACCAGCAGCCAACCAUUUUCUUGCAUGGAAAUACUUUCUAAGGUCUCAGUCUUUGCCCGCAAUUGUUUUAUUACAAAUUGGAAAUUUGUAUAAAUAUCUUCCAAGGAGAGCUUGUUAGCUUUGGCCAUACCUCGACAGAUUUUCCAACGCAUUUAUUGCAUCACCUUAAUCCUGAGAAAAAUGAUAAAUAUUGAAAAUUUAAUCACUUUCUAUUUGAUCACGUUUAAAAACAUAUAAUAUUCAAUUAUGAUUAUUGUCUGUUUACAACCUGAUUGCAAAAGGCUUGAAAAUAAUACAGCGCCAAACAGUUUACAGUGUUUUAGUUUAAACAUUUUUGUUGUUCUUUUUGAAGAUUUUUGCUGGCAUUUGAAUAAUAAUAUUGUUACAAGCUGUAUCAUAA